AUGUUAGGAGUAUACUACCCACCCAGCUAUUCACGGGGACGAAUAAUACUUACGGUUGUGAUUUAUACUACAUCCAUUUUCGAUGAUAUUUAUGAUUCAUUCGGAACCAAAGAAGAGUGUGAAUUGUUUACCCAGUUGGUAGAAAGGUUGAAAACUUUCUUGGCAAACAUUUUCUAUACUCAUAUUUUGUGA
rnacentral:rRNA from 1 species